AGCCGGGGCUGGUCACAUGGGCCGCUCUUCGCGCCACUUUCGGAAAGCCGGGCCAGCGGUAGUCGGUGUGAGGGGAGCUGGGUGAACGGGUUCUUUGGCCGGAUUCCCGGGUUAUGUCGAUGAAGGUAAUUGCAGUCAGCAGUGCCGCUUUAAUCCCCGCCCGGGACACGGAGUCCAUCUCCCCGUGGGUCGGUUACUGUCUGUUGCCGAGAUUACCGCUGCCAGUGCACCGUCAGGGAGCGCCUCCCGGCGAAUAAUUUCCUCUUUCUCUGCCGCCAGUAUCUGCCACCUGGAACCAUCGGGGAGACGGCAUGAACAUAGAAAAGGGAGCAUCGCUUUGAAGAUUUGUUGAAUGGGUGUUAAAUGUGAAGAAAGCAACCCUGCACUGGAUUGGGUCAAGUUGUGCAAAAGUGCUUACAGUGCAGGUAGCAGAGUGCAUCUACUGCAGUGUAAGCACUUCUUGCAUUACUUUGGCAGAUAUGUUUUAACUGCAGUCAUCCCAGGCCUCAACCCCAUCCUAACACUGCACUGCUGUGUUAAUUGCUUUGCAAGCCUGUGCAUGCAGUUUGCUAACGUACCCCUUGUGUUAAGGUGCAUCUAGUGCAGUUAGUGAUAUAGCUUUGAAUCUACUGCCCUAAGUGCUCCUUCUGGCACAGGAUGCUACACGGUCAGCCUGGUAAUCACACUUGACAUGUUACAGGGUGUAAACUAAAUUCCAGUUGACAAGUUAGCACACUCAUUGUUUGUAAUUUUUAUUUUGCUUGUGUCUUAUUCUGUAAGCUACUUGACACUUUGGUUUGAAGUGAAGUGAUUAGAUUUGAAAGGCCAAAAUGCUAUGUUUCUGCAGUUUAUUGAGCAUGAGAGUGUGCUGUUAUAGCAUUUCAUUAUUGCAGUCUGUAAAUAGCCUUUACUAUUAAGAUACUAUAGCACUGGACUGUAUCAUAAAAGCUGCAUGAAUACUGUGGGAUCCCUACUUUGAAUUAAUCCAUUGUCCCACGACUUAACGAUUUUGAGUUGUGGUAGGCAAGUGUGACUUCGUCUUUCUAACCAUCAGUGGAGGCUUUCAAAAGGAAAUUCGAUCAUUACCUGAAAAGGGAAAAUAAAAAGCAGGCGUGUCUGUGGGAAGUGGUGAUGGACUACCACCGGUCUUUCAAGGUUGCUAGACUCCUAUUUUGUGCUUUAUGUUGGUAAGGAUUGGAUGAAUUCUUGGCAUAAUGUGCUGAGAUCAUGAAUGACUUGAGGUACAGAAAAUUGGAAAUUCCCAAAAGGGAAUAUCAUGUUAAAUGGUUACUGCAUAUAAUGCUGUCUCAUAUUCAAAUACAUUGAAAAUGAUUAGGACAAUUAAAGGGCAGCAACAUUUAAUAUAACCAGUCUAACCAAAUCUUUGCUUUAGAAACAUUAAAUCAAAGAUGCUAACUUUGAUUUGAAGGUGACCUGUAUAUUCUGCAAGAGAAUGUACAAAGUGUCUCAAAUGUGCUUUAGUUGCUUUUGCAUCAAUGACCAGUCCUGCAACUUUCUGCCAGUUUUGCAGUUUUGUAUUACAGGAAGAAGUGACCUGUGCAAAUCUAUGCAAAACUAGUAGGGAACUGUACUGCUGCUUGACAUUUGCCUUGGCUGCUGUUGCUUUAUCUGCUUAAUGAGAAAUCUUCAGAUGCCCUCCUUUUUAAUAUGUUUUCUGAAUAUCUGCAGGGUAUAUCUAGCUGUCCAUGCAAUACCAAAGUGCUCAUAGUGCAGGUAGUAGUGUAUAAAAUCUACUGUAACAUGAGCACUUACAGUCAUGCUAGACAAAUUUACAAUGAAAGGCCUCAAAGUGGUGGAAACAUGGAAGUCUUCAUGGGUUACUGUUUACAGUUAGUUUUGCAGGUUUGCAUUCAGCUGGCAAGUACCUGAUGCUGUGCAAAUCCAUGCAAAACUGACAGUAGCGGUGGAUUUCUGAAGAGCUGCAUGUGUGAAAUAGACAACGAGUGGUACUUCCAAUAUAUUUGAGCAAUGCAGGCUGGUUUCUGCAUGGGUGGGGAUUUGUUGCAUUACUGGGUCUUGUGUUAACAGUAUUGCACUUGUCCCGGCCUGUGGAGGAAGAAAGGACUUGACGACAUAUGGACUAAAAUGUCAAAUCCCUUAUUCUUUUCUCCUAUCGUCUUGCUGUUGUCGGGUGGAUCGCGAUGCAAUUUUGAUUCUUUCUCUUUAGUAAAAUUGCACGGUAUCCAUCUGUAAUCCGCAAGACGUUUUGCAUGAUAGAGCUAAGUAAUGGUCUGAGAUUAUUAGUAGAAUGAUGUAGGCAGAUUGUAUAUGUUUCUUAAUUGUGACAUCUAAAAUAAAACAUUUACUGACUUGCUGCUGUUAAAAGAAAAUUGACAACUGGAAAUCAGUGGCAGCAUCGGUAUGCAAAUAGUUUGUAAUUUGAAGGAAAUUUUAAUUGGUUAUUUAGCCUGUCAACUGUGGCGUUAGCUCUCCGACUUAGGAGUGGAGGAAAAUAAUGACACGAAAUAGGGCCAUGAGUCUGCCAUUAGACCCGUUAUGGCUCCUUGGCCAUUCAGUAAGAUCAUGGCUGAUUGAUUGUGACUUUAAUAACUUGCCUGCAAUACCUAAAAUACCAGUUUACAAAUUAGGAGCAGAAGUAAGCUGUUCAGAUACUCGUAACCUGCACUGCAUAAAAUGAACGCUGAUAUGUUUCUUACAAGUUACACAUCCCUAACUACUCCUGAUAACCUUUGAUUUCAUUGCCCAACAGAGGUCACUGCUUACACCUCAGAUCUUCAUGGCCUCCGCCUUCAUGAGUGCAGAUGAUGGCUUAGUGGUAUUUUUACUAGACUAUUAAUCCGGAGACCCAGGUAAUGCUCUGAGGACCCAGGUUUGAUCCUGCCAUGGCAAAUGGUGAAAUUUGAAUACAAUAAAAUUUGGAAUUAAAGGUAGUGAUAACCAAAAAGCCACAUUUGAUUGUCAAAAAAGCUCACCUGGUAAAGUUCUUUACGGAAGGAAAUUGCUGUCCUUUCCUGGUCAGGCCAAAAUGAGUCCAGACCCCAGCAAUGUGCUGCUUGCCUAACCAGUAAUACACACCCUUGAAUGAAUAAAAUUCUCGCCUCUAUUCUCAAAGGGCAAUUCUUAAUUUUAAAACACUGCUUCCUAGACUCCCCUGCAAGUGGAAAUCUUUCCAUAUGUAUUACUUCAAGAUUAUUCAGGAUCCUACAUACUUGUAUUGAGUUACCCAUUGCUCUUGUAAACUCCAGUGAAAUCAACACCAUUCAGUAUAAACUAUCUUCCUAAUACAACCUGUUCAUUCCACAUAUCAAUUGGGUAGACCACCUCUGAGUAGCCUCCAAUGCAUUUGUGUCCUUUUUUAUUCACUUGAGAUGUGGGCAGUACUAACUGGGCCAGCAUUUAUUGCCCAUCUUUAAAGUAGGAGAUCAAAACUGCAUGUGGUAUUCGAGGUGUGGAGUUACCAAUGCCCUAUAAUAACUGGAGCAUAACAUCCUUGUUUUUGUGAUCAAUUCCACUUGUAAUAAAGGAUUGCAGUCUGUUGAUAUUUUCCUAAUUAACCUCCUCAGAUGUUAUGACACGUGGGACUUCAAUCUGGCCUCUUAGCUCAGAGGUUAGGGAUACUAUCCUUGGCACAAGAGCCUUGGAUUGCAGUCUUUUUUUUUUUAAUUCCCAGAAUUAUCUUGCAACUGAAGGGCUUUCCCACGACCAAAAUCACUGUGAUUGUUCUUUGUAAAACUAGUAACCACCAGUAAAAACACUCAUGGCUCCAAUUCAGUGUUUGCAAGCAAAGCUUAUUGUGAACAAUGCACACCAUCAAAAGUGAGGGGGAGGGUUGCGGUCAGUUGGCUGCUUUGAUUUAUGCACUUGGAUCCCUCUGUAUCUUGGCAUUCUAUAGUUCUGUGUUUUGCAUUGACAAGAUUAGGGGGGAAAGAAAAGUGGUAUGACCCAAGUAAGCAAAGGCGUAUGUCCGCCGUAUCCAUAGUGUGUGUUACUCCUUCAAAGAACUCCCAAUAAAUUAACUAAAUAUGAUUUCUUUCA